rnacentral:rRNA from 1 species
AUGAACGCUGGCGGCGUGCCUAAUACAUGCAAGUCGAACGCUUCACUUCGGUGAAUAGUGGCGACCGGGUGAGUAAUACAUAAGUAACCUGGCAUCUACAGGGGGAUAACUGAUGGAAACGUCAGCUAAGACCGCAUAGGUGUAGAGAUCGCAUGAACUCUAUAUGAAAAGUGCUACGGGACUGGUAGAUGAUGGACUUAUGGCGCAUUAGCUUGUUGGUAGGGUAACGGCCUACCAAGGCGACGAUGCGUAGCCGACCUGAGAGGGUGAACGGACACAGUGGGACUGAGACACGGCGCAGACUCCUACGGGAGGCAGGAGUAGGGAAUUUUCGGAAAGGGGGGAAACCCUGACCGAGCAACGCCGCGUGAAGGAAGAAGUAAGUCGUUAUGUAAACUUCUGUCAUAGAGGAAGAACGGUGGAUAUAGGGAAUGAUAUACAAGAGACGGUACUCUAUAAGAAAGCCACGGCUAACUACG